rnacentral:tRNA from 1 species
UGACGCAUAAACAAAGGGGGUGGGGGACUCAUAAUCCCUUGGUCGAAGGUUCGAGUCCUUUCGGGCCCACCA